UACAGAGGGUGCGAGCGUUGUUCGGAAUUAUUGGGCGUAAAGAGCUCGUAGGCGGUCUGUCGCGUCGGUCGUGAAAACUUGGGGCUUAACUCUGAGCUUGCGGUCGAUACGGGCAUCACUGGAGUUCGGCAGGGGAGACUGGAAUUCCUGGUGUAGCGGUGAAAUGCGCAGAUAUCAGGAGGAACACCGGUGGCGAAGGCGGGUCUCUGGGCCGAUGACUGACGCUGAGGAGCGAAAGCGUGGGGAGCGAACAGG
rnacentral:rRNA from 1 species